UGCCUAGUUAAAUACAGUUGGAACGCAGAAGCUGAAAUGUGGUAUUUAAAGAUAAGAAACCUAAUGAAUGCUGAAAUUGAGGAAUUGGCUGAUCUUAUGCAUUCCUUGUCUUUUGUACACCUGACACAAUCGUCAGUUUAUGGGUGUGGAGGCUUGAUAGCUGAGGAUUCUUCUCUACUAAGUGCUUACUGAAUGACAUCGACUCAAAAAUGAAUUGGACCUUCUAUACAAAUCUAUACAAAGAUUGAAAGAGAUCAGAAGGUUUUUUUACAGCCGAGGAACAAACUAUUGAGCAGUUUUUUUUAUUCCACAACUUUUUUGGCCAUCACUUAACGUAAAUUAUCUCCUCUGAUCUUUCAUUAUUGUUAUAGCUUAAGAAGUUUUAUCUAACUCCCACUGGUUGGAACUUCUUUUCCCCCUCGUUUUUUUUUGUUAAAUUUCAUACCGUGAACGAAAUUGUUUCAUAUAUUUAAAAAAUAUAUAUAUAAAAAAUUCUAUAACCGGAGAAGAAAUGGCCUCUUUAUGCAGUUUUUAAUUUCUCUGAACGAAAGAUGCUAUCUUUGACGGUAAUAAUAGAAGUACUUAUGACUUGUAGGAUAAUGUGCAUCACACGGAACCGUAUCCUAUCCUUCAAUUUAAUGAUGGGUUUGUCCACUUAUCAACGAGGUGGAAGUGCAGCCACGGCAAUAGGGGUCAAAACUGGUUAUUCAGGUAGGACCCGUAAGAGGCGGGGUUUCGUCCACUUGCUUGCCUGGCGUUCUAUCUCCACAACAAUUGAGUUGGUGAUCAUCAUUUUGUCCCACUGAAAUCUUUCUUCGAUGGUGGCUGUCAUCUCAGCAAGCAGGUAAUGGGAAUCCCCUUUAUGGGCAAGUAAACUCAUCCUUUUUACUUUUCGAGAUGCAAAUAGCGUAUGAC